GGUUUCUGACUCCUCUGGAGAAGAAAGAUAAGAGGGAAUUCCUGAGUAACAACUUUCAGAGAUAAAUCAACUCACUGCCGUUGCAUCCUAUCCAUGGACCAGUGACUCAGGGUUCGGUCAGAGAUGCUUGUCCAUGGAAUGAUAAUCUGAUUUCAUCAGUGGGUUGAUGCUUUGUCAACAGAGGAAUGUCGGGAGAAUCUAUUACAGAAUGGACAUCCAAGAUGAGACAGUUUAUCCCACCAGCUGAGUGUAAGAGACUCUUCUCACUAUAAUUCUUGACAGCACUAUGAACUUAAGGACAAUAGACAACACAAUCAAGACCCGCUCUCCGUUUUAGUUGGCUGAUUCUUUACCAUGAGCCACGGGGGCAAGUCCAUGAUCCAGUUGUGCUGGAGCAUAAAACUACCUCAGGCACCUCUUAUGGAGCAAGAUGGAGCCUUCCAUCCUAGCUGAUCACCACCGCCAGAGUCACAGGUGAGAAAUCUCGGGAUAGCACAAUAAAUUUGGAAAAACAAUGACGUCAACCAAAGAAUGAGGACAGCAUGUUCAACCUUCUGAUUGGUAGUCUGAUAUAAUUACUCUCCAAACCAAACUUCCUGUCCAUGUACUUAGCAUGCAAUAUAUAUUGGGUUUAAAAUUAUAUUUUCAAAGCCCUUUGCAAUGCCAA